CCCUUAGAUGUUCUGGGCCGCACACGCGCUACACUGAAGGAGGCAGCGUGUACUCCUGGAUCGAAAGAUUUGGGUAACCCGCGAAUCUCCUUCGUGCUAGGGAUUGAGGUUUGCAAUUAUCCUUCAUGAACGAGGAAUUCCCAGUAAGUGCAAGUCAUAAGCUUGCGCUGACUACGUCCCUGCCCUUUGUACACACCGUCCGUCGCUACUACCGAUUGAAUGAUUUAGUGAGGACUUCGGACUGGGACCGAUGCGGCUUUCGGGCUGCGUCGGUAUUCUGGAAAGAUGUCCAAACUGUAUCAUUUAGAGGAAGUAAAAGUCGUAACA
rnacentral:rRNA from 1 species